AAGAUUAUACUUUCAGGGUUCAUUUCUAUGGUUCAUUAGUAGAGAAAAUUUUCUGAUUGUGUAGAGCACCUGAAACCACAGGAGGAGUUGGAACAUCCUGUCCUGAGCGUGAAGCCUCUUCUAGGUGUUGCUUUCACAACUAUCACUUAUUAUUGAUAGUUCUCUUCCCUUGGAAGAAGGAGAGGAAGAGGAUGCAGCCCGAGUUGU